rnacentral:rRNA from 1 species
GACGAACGCUGGCGGCGUGCUUAACACAUGCAAGUCGAACGAGACGAUUGGAAGCUUGCUUUUAAAAGUCGAGUGGCAAACGGUGAGUAACGCGUAGACAACCUGCCUUUGAGAUGGGGACAACAGUUCGAAAGGACUGCUAAUACCGAAUGUUGUAUAUUUUCCACAUGGAAGAUAUAUUAAAGAUGGCCUCUAUUUAUAAGCUAUCGCUCAAAGAUGGGUCUGCGUCUGAUUAGCUGGUUGGUGGGGUAACGGCCUACCAAGGCGACGAUCAGUAGCCGGUCUGAGAGGAUGAACGGCCACAUUGGGACUGAGACACGGCCCAGACUCCUACGGGAGGCAGCAGUGGGGAAUCUUCCACAAUGGACGAAAGUCUGAUGGAGCAACGCCGCGUGAGUGAAGAAGGGUUUCGGCUCGUAAAGCUCUGUUGUCGGGGACGAAUGUGCAGUAUUUGAAUAAAGUACUGUAAUGACGGUACCUGACGAGGAAGCCACGGCUAACUACGUGCCAGCAGCCGCGGUAA